CGGCACGUAGCUCAGACGGUAGAGCCACGGUGCGCAGGUUCGAGUCCUGCCGUGUCGACCC
rnacentral:tRNA from 1 species